rnacentral:misc_RNA from 1 species
AAGUCGUAACAAGGUUUCCGUAGGUGAACCUGCGGAAGGAUCAUUACCUUUCAAUGCAGCAGGAUUGGGAUGGUUGAGUAUCUCGCCUCUCCGUUCUGCCUGUAUUCUACCCUUGUUUGUCAUAUACUAUUAUUUCCUCGGCAGGCUUGCCUGCCGAGUGAAGCCAUUUAUAACCUUUUUAAUUUUCAAUCAGCGUCUGAAAAAAAUUAAUAAUUACAACUUUCAACAACGGAUCUCUUGGUUCUG